rnacentral:rRNA from 1 species
AUUGAACGCUGGCGGCAGGCCUAACACAUGCAAGUCGAACGGUAACAGGAAGAAGCUUGCUUCUUUGCUGACGAGUGGCGGACGGGUGAGUAAUGUCUGGGAAACUGCCUGAUGGAGGGGGAUAACUACUGGAAACGGUAGCUAAUACCGCAUAACGUCGCAAGACCAAAGAGGGGGACCUUCGGGCCUCUUGCCAUCGGAUGUGCCCAGAUGGGAUUAGCUAGUAGGUGGGGUAACGGCUCACCUAGGCGACGAUCCCUAGCUGGUCUGAGAGGAUGACCAGCCACACUGGAACUGAGACACGGUCCAGACUCCUACGGGAGGCAGCAGUGGGGAAUAUUGCACAAUGGGCGCAAGCCUGAUGCAGCCAUGCCGCGUGUAUGAAGAAGGCCUUCGGGUUGUAAAGUACUUUCAGCGGGGAGGAAGGGAGUAGAGUUAAUACCUUUGCUCAUUGACGUUACCCGCAGAAGAAGCACCGGCUAACUCCGU